CAGAACGAACGCUGGCGGCGCGUUUAAGCAUGCAAGUCGAACGGUAGUACAGAGCUUGCUCUGUAUGAGAGUGGCGAACGGGUGAGUAACACGUAGGUAAUCUACCUUUGGAUUGGGGAUAGCCCAUGGAAACAUGGGGUAAUACCGAAUAAAUCGUAUACCGUAGAGGUAAACGGGAAAGGCGCUUUGGCGCCGUCCGGGGAUGAGCCUGCGGCUUAUUAGUUAGUUGGUAGGGUAACGGCCUACCAAGGCGACGAUAAGUAGCCGGCCUGAGAGGGUGAACGGCCACACUGGGACUGAGACACGGCCCAGACUCCUACGGGAGGCAGCAGCUAAGAAUCUUCCGCAAUGGACGCAAGUCUGACGGAGCGACGCCGCGUGGGUGAAGAAGGCCGAAAGGUUGUAAAGCCCUUUUCUUGCUGAAGAAUAAGGGCAGGAGGGAAUGCCUGUCCGAUGACGUUAGGUGAGGAAUAAGCCCCGGCCAAUUACGUGCCAGCAGCCGCGGUAACACGUAUGGGGCGAGCGUUGUUCGGAAUCAUUGGGCGUAAAGGGCGCGCAGGCGGUUAAAUAAGCCUGGUGUGAAAGGCUACGGCUCAACUGUAGUUUCGCGCUGGGAACUGUUUGACUAGAGUUCUGGAGGGGAAGCUGGAAUUCCUGGUGUAGGGGUGAAAUCUGUAGAUAUCAGGAAGAACACCGGUGGCGAAGGCGAGCUUCUAGCCAAGAACUGACGCUGAGGCGCGAAAGCGUGGGGAGCGAACAGGAUUAGAUACCCUGGUAGUCACGCUGUAAACGAUGUGCACUGGGUGUUGGCCCUUGAGGGUCAAGUGCCGAAGCUAACGCGAUAGGUGCACCGCCUGGGGAGUAUG
rnacentral:rRNA from 1 species